rnacentral:rRNA from 1 species
UACGGAGGGUGCGAGCGUUAAUCGGAAUUACUGGGCGUAAAGCGCNCGCAGGCGGUUUGUUAAGCUAGAUGUGAAAGCCCCGGGCUCAACCUGGGAUGGNCAUUUAGAACUGGCAGACUAGAGUCUUGGAGAGGGGAGUGGAAUUCCAGGUGUAGCGGUGAAAUGCGUAGAUAUCUGGAGGAACAUCAGUGGCGAAGGCGNCUCCCUGGCCAGAGACUGACGCUCAUGUGCGAAAGUGUGGGUAGCGAACAGG